rnacentral:rRNA from 1 species
GACGAACGCUGGCGGCGUGCUUAACGCAUGCAAGUCGAACGGAAAGGCCCUGCUUUUGUGGGGUGCUCGAGUGGCGAACGGGUGAGUAACACGUGAGUAACCUGCCCUUGACUUUGGGAUAACUUCAGGAAACUGGGGCUAAUACCGGAUAGGAGCUCCUGCUGCAUGGUGGGGGUUGGAAAGUUUCGGCGGUUGGGGAUGGACUCGCGGCUUAUCAGCUUGUUGGUGGGGUAGUGGCUUACCAAGGCUUUGACGGGUAGCCGGACUGAGAGGGUGACCGGCCACAUUGGGAAUGAGAUACGGCCCAGACUCCUACGGGAGGCAGCAGUGGGGAAUAUUGCACAAUGGGCGGAAGCCUGAUGCAGCAACGCCGCGUGCGGGAUGACGGCCUUCGGGUUGUAAACCGCUUUCGCCUGUGACGAAGAGUGAGUGACGGUAAUGGGUAAAGAAGCACCGGCUAACUACGUG